rnacentral:rRNA from 1 species
GAGCGGCGAACGGGUGAGUAACACGUGAGCAACCUGCCCCUGACUUUGGGAUAAGCCCGGGAAACUGGGUCUAAUACCGGAUGUGACCACUCAACGCAUGUUGUGGUGGUGGAAAGUUUUUUCGGUUGGGGAUGGGCUCGCGGCCUAUCAGCUUGUUGGUGGGGUGAUGGCCUACCAAGGCGACGACGGGUAACCGGCCUGAGAGGGCGACCGGUCACACUGGGACUGAGACACGGCCCAGACUCCUACGGGAGGCAGCAGUGGGGAAUAUUGCGCAAUGGGCGGAAGCCUGACGCAGCGACGCCGCGUGGGGGAUGACGGCCUUCGGGUUGUAAACCUCUUUCAGCAGGGACGAAGGUUUUCUGACGGUACCUGCAGAAGAAGCGCCGGCUAACUACGUGCCAGCAGCCGCGGUAAUACGUAGGGCGCAAGCGUUGUCCGGAAUUAUUGGGCGUAAAGAGCUCGUAGGCGGUCUGUCGCGUCGGGUGUGAAAGCCCACGGCUAAACCGUGGGUCUGCAUUCGAUACGGGCAGACUAGAGGCAGGUAGGGGAGCAUGGANUNCC